rnacentral:rRNA from 1 species
AGAGUUUUGAUCAUGGCUCAGGGACGAACGCUGGCGGCGUGCCUAAUACAUGCAAGUCGAGCGGACAGAUGGGAGCUUGCUCCCUGAUGUUAGCGGCGGACGGGUGAGUAACACGUGGGUAACCUGCCUGUAAGACUGGGAUAACUCCGGGAAACCGGGGCUAAUACCGGAUGCUUGUUUGAACCGCAUGGUUCAGACAUAAAAGGUGGCUUCGGCUACCACUUACAGAUGGACCCGCGGCGCAUUAGCUAGUUGGUGAGGUAACGGCUCACCAAGGCGACGAUGCGUAGCCGACCUGAGAGGGUGAUCGGCCACACUGGGACUGAGACACGGCCCAGACUCCUACGGGAGGCAGCAGUAGGGAAUCUUCCGCAAUGGACGAAAGUCUGACGGAGCAACGCCGCGUGAGUGAUGAAGGUUUUCGGAUCGUAAAGCUCUGUUGUUAGGGAAGAACAAGUGCCGUUCAAAUAGGGCGGCACCUUGACGGUACCUAACCAGAAAGCCACGGCUAACUACGUGCCAGCAGCCGCGGUAAUACGUAGGUGGCAAGCGUUGUCCGGAAUUAUUGGGCGUAAAGGGCUCGCAGGCGGUUUCUUAAGUCUGAUGUGAAAGCCCCCGGCUCAACCGGGGAGGGUCAUUGGAAACUGGGGAACUUGAGUGCAGAAGAGGAGAGUGGAAUUCCACGUGUAGCGGUGAAAUGCGUAGAGAUGUGGAGGAACACCAGUGGCGAAGGCGACUCUCUGGUCUGUAACUGACGCUGAGGAGCGAAAGCGUGGGGAGCGAACAGGAUUAGAUACCCUGGUAGUCCACG